rnacentral:rRNA from 1 species
CGCGUGAGAAUCUGCCUUCAGGUCGGGGAUAACGACUGGAAACGGUCGCUAAUACCGGAUGUGCCGAGAGGUGAAAGCUUAAUGUGCCUGAAGAUGAGCUCGCGUCCGAUUAGCUAGUUGGUGGGGUAAGAGCCUACCAAGGCGGUGAUCGGUAGCUGGUUUGAGAGGAUGAUCAGCCACACUGGGACUGAGACACGGCCCAGACUCCUACGGGAGGCAGCAGUGGGGAAUUUUCCGCAAUGGGCGCAAGCCUGACGGAGCAAUACCGCGUGCGGGAGGAAGGCUUUUGGGUCGUAAACCGCUUUUAUUGGGGAAGAAGUUCUGACGGUACCCAAUGAAUCAGCAUCGGCUAACUCCGUGCCAGCAGCCGCGGUAAUACGGAGGAUGCAAGCGUUAUCCGGAAUUAUUGGGCGUAAAGCGUCCGCAGGUGGCUGGUCAAGUCUGCUGUUAAAGCGUAGAGCUUAACUCUAUAUCGGCAGUGGAAACUGGACAGCUAGAGUACGGUAGGGGUAGCGGGAAUUCCCAGUGUAGCGGUGAAAUGCGUAGAUAUUGGGAAGAACACCAGCGGCGAAAGCGCGCUACUGGGCCUGUACUGACACUGAGGGACGAAAGCUAGGGGAGCGAAAGGGAUUAGAUACCCCCGGAAAUCAAACAACGUUACUCCCCC